rnacentral:rRNA from 1 species
UAUUGGUCAAUGGGCGCGAGCCUGAACCAGCCAAGUCGCGUGAGGGAGGACGGCCCUACGGGUUGUAAACCUCUUUUGCCGGGGCGCAACGGGCGCCCCGUGUGGCGCCACUGAGAGUACCCGGAGAAAAAGCAUCGGCUAACUCCGUGCCAGCCGCCGCGGUAAUACGGAGGAUGCGAGCGUUAUCCGGAUGCAUUGGGUUUAAAGGGUGCGCAGGCGGGCCUUUAAGCCGGCGGUGAAAUCGCGGGGCUCAACCCCGCCGAGCCGUCGGAACUGGGGGCCUUGAGUGCGGCGGAGGCAUGCGGAAUGCGCGGUGUAGCGGUGAAAUGCAUAGAUAUCGCGCAGAACCCCGAUUGCGAAGGCAGCGUGCCGUGCCGCCACUGACGCUGAGGCACGAAAGCGCGGGGAUCGAACAGG